CCCGAAUUGGAAUGAUUUAUUUAAGAAUUAAUUUUACUGUGGAAUAAUUACUUAAAAUUCUUAAAUGGUAAUGAAACGUUAUUCGUCUUCUAAAAUAUCUGGUUUUUUGAGAAACAAGUUCAAUUUGCUCGGCUAUAUAAAACUUUUUAUUUUUUAAAAUAAAUUUUAUUUAGUUUGGAUGAUUAAAGGGAAAAGCUUUUAAUCAGAUUUCUUAAGCUUAUAGAAUAUUUAUUUUUAAGUAGGGUUAGAAUUUCCUAUCUUUUGUAGUGUGUUGUAAUUAUACUAAUUUUUUAUUUGAUUUAUUAAAGCUUUUAUAUUUUAUCAAAAAUUCUUAUUAAAUAAGUUUUUAUGAGGUAUAAUGGUUUAAUUAGUAAAUUUUAUUUUAAUAUUAUUUGUUAUUAAUAAGGUUAAUAUAAGGAACUCGGCAAAUAUAUUUCCUGCCUGUUUAUUAAAAACAUGUCCUUUUGUUAAAUUAAUUUAAGGUCUAGCCUGCCCACUGAAUUUUAAAUGGCUGCGGUAUUUUGACCGUACAAAGGUAGCAUAAUCAUUAGUUUCUUAAUUGGGAGCUUGUAUGAACGGCUGGACAAGGAAAUAUCUGUCUCAUAUUAAAUUAUUAUUGAAUUUUAUUUUUAAGUUAAAAAGCUUAAAUUUUCCUGAAAGACGAGAAGACCCUAUAGAGUUUUACAUAUUUUAAUUACUAAGUAAUUGGUAAAAUUUUCUUUAAAUUUUAAAUAUGUUUUGUUGGGGUGACAGGAAAAUUUUACUAACUUUUCUUUUUUUUUUUCAUUAAUAUAUGAAUAGUUGAUCCGAUUUUAUCGAUUAUAAGAAUAAAUUACCUUAGGGAUAACAGCGUAAUUUCUCUUGAGAGUUCUUAUCGAAAUAGAAGUUUGCGACCUCGAUGUUGGAUUAAAAUUUACUAUUGGUGUAGAAGCUAAUAAAUUUAGGUCUGUUCGACCUUUAAAAUUUUACAUGAUCUGAGUUUAGACCGGCGUGAGCCAGGUUGGUUUCUAUCUUUAGAAUUAAUUAAUUUUCUAGUACGAAAGGACCGAGAAUU
rnacentral:rRNA from 1 species